AGUUAGUUGGUGAGGUAACGGCUCCCCAAGGGGGACGAUGGGUAGCCGACCUGAGAGGGUGAUCGGCCACACUGGGAUUGAGACACGGCCCAGAUUCCUACGGGAGGCAGCAGUAGGGAAUCUUCCGCAAUGGACGAAAGUCUGACGGAGCAACGCCGCGUGAGUGAUGAAGGUUUUCGGAUCGUAAAACUCUGUUGUUAGGGAAGAACAAGUACGAUAGUAACUGAUCGUACCUUGACGGUACCUAACCAGAAAGCCACGGCUAACUACGUGCCAGCAGCCGCGGUAAUACGUAGGUGGCAAGCGUUGUCCGGAAUUAUUGGGCGUAAAGCGCUCGCAGGCGGUCCUUUAAGUCUGAUGUGAAAUCUCGCGGCUCAACCGCGAACGGUCAUUGGAAACUGGAGGACUUGAGUACAGAAGAGGAGAGUGGAAUUCCAACGGGUAGCGGUGAAAUGCGUAGAGAUGUGGAGGAACACCAGUGGCGAAGGCGACUCUCUGGUCUGUAACUGACGCUGAGGAGCGAAAGCGUGGGGAGCGAACAGGAUUAGAUACCCUGGUAGUCCACGCCGUAAACGAUGAGUGCUAGGUGUUAGGGGGUUUCCGCCCCUUAGUGCUGAAGUUAACGCAUUAAGCACUCCGCCUGGGGAGUACGGCCGCAAGGCUGAAACUCAAAAGAAUUGACGGGGGCCCGCACAAGCGGUGGAGCAUGUGGUUUAAUUCGAAGCAACGCGAAGAACCUUACCAGGUCUUGACAUCCUCUGCCAUUCCUAGAGAUAGGAAGUUCCCUUCGGGGACAGAGUGACAGGUGGUGCAUGGUUGUCGUCAGCUCGUGUCGUGAGAUGUUGGGUUAAGUCCCGCAACGAGCGCAACCCUUGAUCUUAGUUGCCAGCAUUUAGUUGGGCACUCUAAGGUGACUGCCGGUGACAAACCGGAGGAAGGUGGGGAUGACGUCAAAUCAUCAUGCCCCUUAUGACCUGGGCUACACACGUGCUACAAUGGAUGGAACAAAGGGAAGCAAAACCGCGAGGUCAAGCAAAUCCCAUAAAACCAUUCUCAGUUCGGAUUGCAGGCUGCAACUCGCCUGCAUGAAGCCGGAAUCGCUAGUAAUCGCGGA
rnacentral:rRNA from 1 species